rnacentral:lncRNA from 1 species
CUCCCCCUGCGCGAGAGCCGAGACAGCGAUGGAUGCCCUCAAAAUGUGGCUAGGGGUGGCCUUAGCGCUGGCGGAAUUUGCAGUACUACCUCUUCAUUCCGAAGGAGAAGCAACUACUCGGAGCGGAGAUGAGGAGCGAGCCAUUGCUCCUACCUGGGUGAACACACUUCUGCUCCUGUGAAACAUGAAAUUCUACACCUUAAAUCUCCCUCCUCUCUCACCCGGCCCGUGCCUGUGGCUGGCUCCAAGGCAGGAAGGGCUUGCUGGAAGGGUCUGGCAGAGGAAAGCUGCCCACAUCAGGUUGGCCAUGUUCACAGCAUGGUGGCCAUGAAGGGAGGUGUGAUGGAGGAAGAUACUGUAUACCCUUCCAAUUCACACCCCCAGUGCACACUCAGCCACUGAGCUCAUCACUGGAUGAAUCUACCCAUGAGUGUAGCACCCUCAUGAUCCAUCCACCCCUCAAACACAUGAGACUCAGGGGAGACAUUUCAGAUCCAACCCAUAAUAUAUGGUUCCUAGUUAUUUUUAUAUCUCCAGCUCAGCCCUUAGCACAUAGUAAGUGCUCAAAAAUAUUGGUCGGAUCAACAAGUAUUACCAAAUCACUCCUUUGAAUUAAGCUUAACUAGUAGACUAGCUCCUAUGACUAGCCUUAUGAUUAUCUGAUUGACUUUGAACAAACUACUUAACCACUGAGCUAAAUCCC